CUCAUUGGCUGCUUUUGCCUUAGGGAUGCACUUCCAUGUUAAACUGGAACAUGGCAUGUUGCCUUGGAGAGAAAUGCGAGAAGAUUUUAUUGUGCAUGAUGUCCCUGAGCGCCCAACAAAGAAGCCGCGUAGGCAGCGUACAAAGCACGUUUAGUUGCAAAAGGGUUCACUCGAAGGCCCGGAUUUGAUUUUCACAAGACAUUCAGUCCGGUGGUUAAACCAACUACUAUUCGAAUAGUACUUACAGUUUCUGUACAAAUGAACUACCCACUACAUCAAGUAGAUGUCAAUAAUGCUUUUCUUCAAGGAAAGAUUCAAGACGUGUAUAUGUCUCAACCUCCUGGCUAUGAAGACACAAAUCAUCCCAACUAUGUUUGCAAUCUCAAAAAGGCAAUUUCGGAUUCCGGCAAGCUCCUAAGGUCUGGUAUGAUGCAUUGACUAGUUCUUUGAUUCGAAUGGGGUUCAAGAUGUCUGAGUGUGAUAAUUCUCUCUUUGUUUUGCACAAUAUGGGGGUCAUUAUUUAUAUUUGAUCUAUGUGGAUGACCUCAUAAUCACAGGCAGUGAUGAAACACUCUUUCAACAUGUUGUUACCACUCUUUCGAAAAAAUUUUCUCUCAAGUACCUUGAUUUAUUACACUAUUUCUUGGGUGUUGAAGUACACAGAAAUGCUGAUGGCUUGUUUCUCAGUCAAUCCAAGUAUAUACAGGAGAUUCUAUAUGACACUCAGAUGCAAGACUGCAAAGGUAUUCAGUCACCUAUGAGCAUGUUCGAGAUCCUACUAGUUGAUGAUGAAGCACCUAAAACUGAUGGAAAAGAAUACAGAAGUGUGCUCGGCAGUUAAGCGUAUCCUGCGCUACCUUAAAGAAACAUCCCAGUAUGGCAUUCGUAUUUCCCCACAGAAAUCGACUGAUCUCUAUGCCUAUGCCGAUGCUGAUUGGGCAGGUGACAUCAAUGAUCGCCGUUUCGGGCUACUUUGUUUAUCUGGGCACAACGCCCAUCUCUUGGAGUUCUCGCUUUUUUCCUUGUGAUGUAGUGUUUAGGGAUGCCGUCGAUUUGCAUAGUGAACCCAAGGAUUUUAUGAAUUUCACCCAGUUUUCCCUGGGAUAUAUGGAAACAGAAAAGAAAGCUUCCCAUACUGAUGCUCAUGAUCCCAGAUUUGGUGGACACCAGACCCUUGAAGAAAGAGAACAAUCAUUUUCUGCUGUAAAUCAAACAAUUCAUUGUGGUUUUUUGAGGGGAGCUGCAGGGCUUCCAAGUACUGGAUUUGAUUUGAAAGAGGAGGACAAAAGAUACAUGAGUGCGUGCAGAGUGGUCGUAUCAUCAUGUAUUUUUGGAAGCUCUGAUUUUUUAAGAAGGCCGACAAGCAGAUUGAUCAGUGAGUAUUCAAAGAAGAACGUAUGUUUUGUUAUGUUUGUUGAUGAGGGAACUCUUUCAACGCUCUCAAAAGAAGGAAGCGCACCUGAUGAUGGUGGAUUUGUUGGAUUGUGGAAAUUAGUUGUCGUCAAGAACUUACCAUACACAGAUACGCGUAAAACAGGGAAAGUACCAAAGUUUUUGACGCAUCGCCUCUUUCCUUCUUCUAGGUACUCUAUUUGGCUAGAUAGCAAACUGCGGCUCUCAACUGAUCCAAUGUUGAUAAUUGAUCAUUUCUUGUGGCAAACCGGCUCUGAGUAUGCCAUCUCAAAUCAUUAUACUCGGCACUGUGUUUGGGAAGAAGUACUCCAAAAUAAGCGUCUAAAUAAGUACAAUCACACUGCUAUUGAUGAACAGUUUUCGUUGUACCAAUCUGAUGGUCUUACCAAAUUUGACCCUUUAGAUCCGAAUCCAUCUCUGCCAAGCUAUGUGCCUGAAGGUUCUUUUAUUGUCAGAGCACAUACACCGAUGUCAAAUUUAUUCUCUUGCCUCUGGUUCAACGAAGUUGACCGAUUUACUUCACGUGACCAACUAAGCUUUGCAUUUACAUUCCUAAAGCUGAAGAGAAUGAAUCCAGACAAACCAUUCCAUUUAAAUAUGUUUAAGGACUGCGAGCGUAGGUCACUGGUCAAGUUGUUUCAUCACAGAGAGCCAUCUGCUCCACCUCCUCCAAGAAUAGUUUGAUAUUCUUCAUUCCUUACAAGGACUUGGUAAACUCGAACUCUUGCUUCAAGCCAUUUGAACGAACUUUCAGGAUAGAACUUUCGUGGAAUAUCUUUGGUUUGUCAUAACUCAUCUGCUGUUGAGUGAUUGAGGAUGGCUUAGGAAGCUCGUGAGGUGUCACUGCAGCUUGAAUUAUCAUAACUGUUGGAUGUUUUCCGAGAUUUCUUCUGAGUUCGGAGCUGAACGAGUUUCCUAAAGAAGUUUGUAAACAAAUGUAUUCAACUAUAGAAGAUCCUCCACAUAUAGUAAACCCUUUUAUUGUACAUUGAAUAUGUAUCUUCUCAAUUCCAGCUAACACUGAUGAAAUUAGUGGUUUCUGCAAUAUAGAGAAGCAAUAUUACGUUUCAUAUAGUCAGACCCCAACUUGUAUUACUGAUUACAGAGUGUUGUGAAAUGAAAUCAUCUUUCAGUUGAA